UACGUAGGCAGCGAGCGUUGUUCGGAGUUACUGGGCGUAAAGGGUGCGUAGGCGGUUGUUUAAGUUUGGUGUGAAAUCUCCCGGCUCAACUGGGAGGGUGCGCCGAAUACUGAAUGACUAGAGUGCGGGAGAGGAUAGUGGAAUUCCUGGUGUAGCGGUGAAAUGCGUAGAUAUCAGGAGGAACACCGGUGGUGUAGACGGCUAUCUGGACCGUAACUGACGCUGAUGCGCGAAAGCGUGGGGAGCAAACGGG
rnacentral:rRNA from 1 species